rnacentral:rRNA from 1 species
CCUACGGGUGGCAGCAGUGGGGAAUAUUGCACAAUGGGGGAAACGCUGAAGCAGCGACGCCGCGUGAGGGAAGAAGGAAUUCGGUAUGUAAAGCUCCAUCAGCAGGGAAGAAAAUGACGGUACCUGUGUAAGAAGCCCCGGCUAACGACGUGCCAGCAGCCGCGGUAAGACGGAGGGGGCAAGCGUUAUCCGGAUUAACUGGGUGUAAAGGGAGCGUAGGCGGCAGUGCAAGUCUGGAGUGAAAGGCGGGGGCUCAACCCCCGGACUGCUCUGGAAACUGUACGGCUGGAGUGCAGGAGAGGUAAGCGGAAUUCCUAGUGUAGCGGUGAAAUGCGUAGAUAUUAGGCGGAACCCCAGUGGCGAAGGCAGCUUACUGUGCUGUCACUGACGUUGAGGCUCGAAAGCGUGGGGAGCAAACAGGAUUAGAUACCCUAGUAGUC